CCUACGGGUGGCAGCAGUGGGGAAUAUUGGGCAAUGGGCGCAAGCCUGACCCAGCAACGCCGCGUGAAGGCAGCAGGCUUUCGGGUUGUAAACUUCUUUUGUCAGGGAAGAGUAGAAGACGGUACCUGACGAAUAAGCCACGGCUAACUACGUGCCAGCAGCCGCGGUAAUACGUAGGUGGCAAGCGUUGUCCGGAUUUACUGGGUGUAACGGGCGGUUAGCCGGGUUGACAAGUCAGAUGUGAAAUCCUGCGGCUUAACCGCAGAACUGCAUGUGAAACUGUUGAUCUUGAGUACUGGAGAGGCAGACGGAAUUCCUAGUGUAGCGGUGAAAUGCGUAGAUAUUAGGAGGAACACCAGUGGCGAAGGCGGUCUGCUGGACAGCAACUGACGGUGAGGCGCGAAAGCGUGGGGAGCAAACAGGAUUAGAUACCCCAGUAGUC
rnacentral:rRNA from 1 species